AUGCCUUGUGUUCAGCCCCGUGAACCUGAGCUUGAGCUGCAGGGCUCCGGAGCCCCCAGGGCACAUCCCGAAACUGGGGACACCAGCGGCAGGGCCUCAGCAGGCAGGGUGGGGUGCAAGACUUGGCGGGGGGCGGCAAUUUGCCAACGUCUACUGAGAACCCUGGGAGCCACGGGCGCUCAGAGGGGCAGGCGAGGCGGGUGGGCAGGAGGCCCCCAGAGCUGCUGUCAGGUGUGGGCGCGACAGGAGACAGCAGCGGGGCUGGCCAGGCCGAGCCCCUCCUUUAAGGGGACACAGCUCUCUGUGUCCAGAUGCCUAACCCCGUGGACGACAAUCCUACGGCCAGGGAGCUUUCAGCUCGGCACGGCGCCUGUGUGUAGCUCCUCUCCAUGGCCCCGUGCCGCCGGCAGGGCCAGGGCUGCCUCCAGUGCCCUGGACAAUGUCAGGGCAGUGCCUCUGUGGGGAGAGCUUGACCUGGAAUUCCAGCCUGGGAUGCUGGCUUGCCCGUCUCUUGCUCGUGUUCACACACACGCGAACCCCCUGGGUGCGUGCAAAGCAGGCUGCGAAACGCAAGGUCUUCAGAUCACGCUCGGGUGCCCCCGCCUCGUAUUGCACCUCAUUACCACGAGGUCUCUGCGCCUCUGGCCGCGGACGGCCCCAGAGCCUAGCGCGUGUGAAUCAGCCCACAAGUGGUUUCUGCCGCUGCAAACUAAACACAUUCCUUCCACGUUAGCCUCGCGGUUAAAAAAAGAAGCUGUGCGCUCGGGGGGAGCCAUGACAUCUCAAAAGGUGAAGCCAGAGGGGGAAGAGAAAGGAACCCCAGUGUGGCCUGGCCACACUCCCUGCCUCUGUGCCUUCCCAAGUAGGGGCUUCCCACGGAAGGCUGCCGCGCUGGGCCAAGAGCAGGUGUUGGAGAACUCUCUAGAACAUGGCCAAGGACCAGGCAUCCCCCGAGACGCAGGCAUCCCCCAGGUUACACAGGGAACACCCGGGCCUAUGCGAGGCGGGCGGGGGUGA
rnacentral:lncRNA from 1 species